UAGGGAAUCUUCGGCAAUGGACGGAAGUCUGACCGAGCAACGCCGCGUGUGUGAAGAAGGUUUUCGGAUCGUAAAGCUCUGUUGUUAGAGAAGAACGUUGGUAGGAGCGGAAAAUCUACCAAGUGACGGUAACUAACCAGAAAGGGACGGCUAACUACGUGCCAGCAGCUGCGGUAAUACGUAGGUCCCGAGCGUUGUCCGGAUUUAUUGGGCGUAAAGCGAGCGCAGGCGGUUCUUUAAGUCUGAAGUUAAAGGCAGUGGCUUAACCAUUGUACGCUUUGGAAACUGGAGGACUUGAGUGCAGAAGGGGAGAGUGGAAUUCCAUGUGUAGCGGUGAAAUGCGUAGAUAUAUGGAAGAACACCGGUGGCGAAAGCGGCUCUCUGGUCUGUAACUGACGCUGAGGCUCGAAAGAGUGGGGAGCAAACAGG
rnacentral:rRNA from 1 species